UAAGAUUUUUAAUUCUCCUCUACUUCCUCUCCAUUAAUCACCUUUAAUCCCUCUUUUAAUCCCUUUUCCUCUGAGAUCUUUUACUCUAAUUUCUCUCUUUCUCCGAUCGACGCAUUUAUUUUGCCGGGAACUCUGCGAGCGUCCUGUGGUUUUUGGUUCUUCUUCCGUCGAGACGACGCCAAGUUCUUGGAAUAAUACGUGAAGCGGCGGAAGAAUCCUUGGACUAUUGUAUCAUAAUUGACCGUUAACAGUUAUGCUGCACUGAAUUACAGGCAGGCCUGAGAAUUUUUCUAUGUGCUCUGUGUGAAAAAUUCCAGUGGAAAAUAUUGAUGAAAUUGCAAACGUCAUUUUGAUCCAUGAAUGAAAAAUAGCUUCUUGGCCGAGCGUUUUCAAUACAUUCAUUUGAACGAAGGCCAUAAGGCGGCACUUCUAUUUGUACGUAUCAAAUGACACCGGAAAUAAACGGAUUCCAAACUAUCGCCGUGAAACUUAGGAGCGAAAGUGAUUUACAACUGAUAAAUAUUUAUCGGCAGCUGGCGAAUUCUGCUUCGGUAAAAAGAUAAUGACUUUGACCCAGUGAAGUCAUCGAUGCUUUUUUUUACUUCCUCGGAAAAUUGAAAGUGGCAAUCCACCAAUGAUUAUGAGUUGCUCUCAAAAGACAGUUACUCAACGAGAUUCUGUUAGUCACCUUGAAACUAUUGCUUGAUCAACUCCGAAUUGUUCUGCAAGUUCUAUUUGUAUUUGAGACGGGUUUUCAUUCAACAAUUCUUCCAAAUUGUCAACAUUGUUCAACAUUUCUUCCAAAACCUCAGGCUUUUGUGGUAUUGCAAGGAGCGGACGACCACUCACGUCAAAACCGUCUUUAAAGCGACGAAAUUAAUAUUGGCAGAUAUUGCGGAACACAAUAUUUUCCCCAAGAACAGAGAAAAUGGAUUCAUAUACUUUAACAGCAUUUUUUCUUUGCUAAAAUUCAUAUCGA